rnacentral:rRNA from 1 species
AAAUUGAAGAGUUUGAUCAUGGCUCAGAUUGAACGCUGGCGGCAGGCCUAACACAUGCAAGUCGAACGGUAACAGGAAACAGCUUGCUGCUUCGCUGACGAGUGGCGGACGGGUGAGUAAUGUCUGGGAAACUGCCUGAUGGAGGGGGAUAACUACUGGAAACGGUAGCUAAUACCGCAUAACGUCGCAAGACCAAAGAGGGGGACCUUCGGGCCUCUUGCCAUCGGAUGUGCCCAGAUGGGAUUAGCUAGUAGGUGGGGUAACGGCUCACCUAGGCGACGAUCCCUAGCUGGUCUGAGAGGAUGACCAGCCACACUGGAACUGAGACACGGUCCAGACUCCUACGGGAGGCAGCAGUGGGGAAUAUUGCACAAUGGGCGCAAGCCUGAUGCAGCCAUGCCGCGUGUAUGAAGAAGGCCUUCGGGUUGUAAAGUACUUUCAGCGGGGAGGAAG